UACAGAGGAUGCAAGCGUUAUCCGGAAUGAUUGGGCGUAAAGGGUGCGUAGGCGGCCUGACAAGUCUGAUGUGAAAUCCCCGGGCUCAACCCAGGGCCUGCAUCGGAAACUGUCGGGCUUGAGUAUGGGAGAGGUGAGUGGAAUUUCCGGUGUAGCGGUGAAAUGCGUAGAUAUCGGAAGGAACACCUGUGGCGAAAGCGGCUCACUGGACCAUUACUGACGCUGAGGCACGAAAGCUAGGGGAGCAAACAGG
rnacentral:rRNA from 1 species